rnacentral:rRNA from 1 species
AAAGGCUGAGCAUGCCUUGCAUGUCAGUCGGACGGGCGCGCUUCCUUCUGCCUGGCAGUGAGUGACGGAUGAGUGAUACAUCCAUCCGAGCCCGGCCUGGCGGGAUAACUAACUAGACGAAUAAUUAAUACCGACCACAAACUACCUGUGGGUGAAGGCGACCGACCGGCCUGCCUCGAUCGAAACGACCGAUGUAUGACUGAUUAGCUGGUGGGGGGGGUGACUGCCUACGAAAGCAACAAUCACUGGCUGGACAGAAAGAACAAUCACCCUGGCUGUGACUGACACACCGCACUCAUUCCUAAGGGAGGAAUGGGGAAUUAAUUUUGAAGAAUGGGGGCCUGAUUGAUCCAUGCCUGCCGUGUGAGUAAAGACUGCCUUCUGUUUGUAAAUUUUUUUUGUCCAGAAAGAAACGUGCCUGGUACCCACCCUCGAUCAAUGACCCGACCGAAAAAAUACCCGCUAACUACCUGCCUGCCACCACCCUAAUACAUACGGUGGGAGCGAUCGUCAAUCUUACUGACUGGAAAUAAAGCGCGCGCGGGUUGAUUGAUAAGACAUGAAAUCACUCCCCUCGCUCUGCCUGUGAAUGUUGUUAGUGACUGUCUGGAUUGAGUGAGAGGGAGGUAGAUAUCAUUCCGUAUGUAUCAGUGACGUGCAGAUAUAUAUGAAUGACUAUGGAUGGCGAAGGCCCCUGCCAGGUACGUGACUGACACUCAUGCACGAAAGCGUGGCGAGCAAAAUGGAUACAUAGGUUGUCACGCACUACCUAAUGAAUAUCAACUAUUGGUGAUGCAUUCCUUCGUACUACGUACUCAGCAUGAAACGACUGCUGGGACGUCGCUGAUAAAAUCUACACGAAUUGA